CAGCCGCCACGGUAAUGCGUAGGGUGCGAGCGUUAAUCGGAAUUACUGGGCGUAAAGCGUGCGCAGGCGGUUGUGUAAGACAGGUGUGAAAUCCCCGGGCUUAACCUGGGAACUGCGCUUGUGACUGCACAGCUAGAGUAUGGCAGAGGGGGGUGGAAUUCCACGUGUAGCAGUGAAAUGCGUAGAGAUGUGGAGGAACACCGAUGGCGAAGGCAGCCCCCUGGGCCAAUACUGACGCUCAUGCACGAAAGCGUGGGGAGCAAACAGGAUUAGAUACCCGUGUAGUCCCUGUCUCUUAUAC
rnacentral:rRNA from 1 species